rnacentral:rRNA from 1 species
UGGAUCCAGACUUUGAUCAUGGCUCAGGAUGAACGCUGGCGGCGUGCUUAACACAUGCAAGUCGAACGGGGUACCCUUGACGGAGGCUUCGGCCAACUGAAAGGACUACCUAGUGGCGGACGGGUGAGUAACGCGUGAGGAACCUGCCUUGGAGUGGGGAAUAACAGCUGGAAACAGUUGCUAAUACCGCAUGAUGCAGUUGGGUCGCAUGGCUCUGACUGCCAAAGAUUUAUCGCUCUGAGAUGGCCUCGCGUCUGAUUAGAUAGUUGGUGGGGUAACGGCCCACCAAGUCGACGAUCAGUAGCCGGACUGAGAGGUUGGCCGGCCACAUUGGGACUGAGACACGGCCCAGACUCCUACGGGAGGCAGCAGUGGGGAAUAUUGGGCAAUGGGCGCAAGCCUGACCCAGCAACGCCGCGUGAAGGAAGAAGGCCCUCGGGUUGUAAACUUCUUUUAUCAGGGACGAAGAAAGUGACGGUACCUGAUGAAUAAGCCACGGCUAACUACGUGCCAGCAGCCGCGGUAAUACGUAGGUGGCAAGCGUUAUCCGGAUUUACUGGGUGUAAAGGGCGUGUAGGCGGGACUGCAAGUCAGAUGUGAAAACCAGAGGCUCAACCUCUGGCCUGCAUUUGAAACUGUAGUUCUUGAGUGUUGGAGAGGCAGGCGGAAUUCCGUGUGUAGCGGUGAAAUGCGUAGAUAUACGGAGGAACACCAGUGGCGAAGGCGGCCUGCUGGACAAUAACUGACGCUGAGGCGCGAAAGCGUGGGGAGCAAGCAGGAUUAGAUACCCUGGUAGUCCACGCUGUAAACGAUGGAUACUAGGUGUGGGGGGUCUGACCCCCUCCGUGCCGCAGCUAACGCAAUAAGUAUCCCACCUGGGGAGUACGAUCGCAAGGUUGCAACUCAAAUGAAUUGACGGA